GUGGAUGAUGAUGCCGAGGACACCCGAGCAGAGGCAAUGAGGACUCUUCGCUUCGCUGACU
rnacentral:snoRNA from 1 species